AGAGGAGCCAGCAGUGUUUGCUAACAGCUGGUCAGUCGAUCUGCCCCAUGAAAGAGGCUGCCCUCUAGUGGACAUAGACUUCACUGGACCCUGCCACUCUGAGUCUGACAUGGACGAUGCCAUAGAGAAGUGCAGUGCUCUCCUGUUCUUCCCCUUCCUGUCCUGUCAUGAGAACAUCGACCCAAACCCCUACGUGGCCAGCUGUGUCUCCGACCUCUGUGUGUCAGAUGAGGAGGAGACGUUUUGCCGUGCGCUGGUGGAGUACACACGAGCCUGCAGCCAUGUAGGAUACCCUGUACGAGAGUGGAGAGACAGCUUCCCUUCCUGCA